ACCUGGCUGGUUCAGUUGGUGGAGUGUGUGAUUCCAGAUCUCAGGGUCGUGAGUUCGAGCCCCACAUUAGGUG
rnacentral:tRNA from 1 species